rnacentral:lncRNA from 1 species
GGUGGUAUGGGUGUCUUCCUCCAUCUUGGAUUGUUAAAAACAGAGAAUCAAGGGUCCAGAUUUUCCAUCAAGUUAGCAAAAUUUGAUGCAGGAAUGCAGAUGUUUAAUGUACAUUUUCAUUUAAAAGUACCAAUUUAUAAGAAUAUAACUUCUAAAUAUUGAUAUUUUUGCAAAUGUUAAUUAUCUUUGGUUGUUUUUAUUUUAUUUUUUUAAAUUGGCAUUUGAAGGGGAGGUAACUCUAAAAAAGUACAUUUUCUGAAGGAUUCUGUAUGGAAUUUUCCUAUUUUGUAUUUUAGCCGAAAAAAACGUUAGGUGACCCUAUCUUUUCUUUUGAUAUUCUCAAAGCAGUGUCUGAAAGCUAUCUUUUCCUGAAGUAUUUAACAAUUCUAUCAUUUUGUUUAGUUUCUAAUCACAAAAUGGUGUUUUUUCCUGUAUAAUCCAUACAAAAUGUGUCAUUUUGUCCCGUCCUGUAGCUUGAGAAAAUGCGCGGUGACCUAUCAUUUU